rnacentral:rRNA from 1 species
CCUGAACGCUGGCGGCGUGGCUAAGACAUGCAAGUCGCACGGGGCCGUAGCAAUACGGUCCAGUGGCGAACGGGUGAGUAAUGAAUCGCUAACGUGCCCCGGACUCUGGGAUAGCUAGCCGAAAGGCUAGGUAAUACCAGAUGACAUAUCCCUCCUGCAUGGGAGGGAUCUCAAAGGUCCGCCGGUCUGGGAGCGGGCGAUUUCGUAUCAGCUAGUUGGUGAGGAACGGCUCACCAAGGCGACGACGCGUAGCCGGACUGAGAGGUUGGCCGGCCACAUUGGGACUGAGACACUGCCCAGACUCCUACGGGGGCUGCAGUAACGAAUCUUCCGCAAUGCACGCAAGUGUGACGGAGCGACGCCGCGUGUGGGACGAAGCCCUUCGGGGUGUAAACCACUGUCAGGGGACAGAAAGUUCUGAUCGUCCCCAGAGGAAGGCACGGCUAACUCUGUGCCAGCCGCCGCCGUAA